rnacentral:rRNA from 1 species
CCUACGGGAGGCAGCAGUGGGGGAUAUUGGACAAUGGGCGAAAGCCUGAUCCAGCGACGCCGCGUGAGUGAAGAAGUAUUUCGGUAUGUAAAGCUCUAUCAGUCGGGAAGAAAGAAAUGACGGUACCUGAGUAAGAAGCCCCGGCUAACUACGUGCCAGCAGCCGCGGUAAUACGUAGGGGGCAAGCGUUAUCCGGAAUUCAUGGGUGUAAAGGGAGAGUAGACGGUAAUGCAAGUCUGGAGUGAAAGGCGAGGGCCCAACCCCCGGACUGCUCUUGAUACUGUGUAACUGGAGUGCGGGAGAGGCAGGCGGAAUGCCUGGUGUAGCGGUGAAAUGCGUAGAUAUUAGGAGGAACACCAGUGGCGAAGGCGGCCUGCUGGACUGUAACUGACGUUGAGGCUCGAAAGCGUGGGGAGCAAACAGGAUUAGAUACCCGAGUAGUC